rnacentral:rRNA from 1 species
AUUGAACGCUGGCGGCAUGCUUUACACAUGCAAGUCGAACGGUAACAGGGUGCUUGCACCGCUGACGAGUGGCGAACGGGUGAGUAAUGCGUCGGAACGUGCCGAGUAGUGGGGGAUAACGCAUCGAAAGGUGUGCUAAUACCGCAUACGUACUGAGGUAGAAAGUGGGGGACCUUCGGGCCUCACGCUAUUCGAGCGGCCGACGUCUGAUUAGCUAGUUGGUGAGGUAAAGGCUCACAAAGGCGACGAUCAGUAGCGGGUCUGAGAGGAUGGUGCGCCACACUGGGACCGGGACAGGGCCAAGAUUGCUAGGGGAGGCAGGAGUGGGUAAUUUUGUACAAUGGGCGCGCGCCUGAUCCAGCCAUGCCGCGUGUCUGAAGAAGGCCUUCGGGUUGUAAAGGCCUUUUGUCCGGGAGCAAAUACCCAGUGCUAAUAACGCGGGGUGCUGAGAGUACCGGAAGAAUAAGCACCGGCUAACUACGUGCCAGCCGCCGCAGUAA